rnacentral:rRNA from 1 species
UAAGACGUAGGUGGCAAGCGUUAUCCGGAAUUAUUGGGCGUAAAGGGCGUGUAGGCGGUUUAUUAAGUCUAAUGUUAAAUACACUAGCUCAACUAGUGAUCGGCAUUAGAUACUGGUAAACUAGAGUGCAGGAGGGGCGAGUGGAAUUCCAUAUGUAGCGGUGAAAUGCGUAGAUAUAUGGAGGAACACCAGUGGCGAAGGCGUCUCGCUGGCCUGCAACUGACGCUAAGACGCGAAAGCGUGGGUAGCAAACAGG